AUCCCAGUUCGGAUUGCAGGCUGCAACCCGCCUGUAUGGAGUUGGAAUCGCUAGUAAUCGCGGAUCAGCAUGCCGCGGUGAAUACGUUCCCGGGCCUUGUACACACCGCCCGUCACACCAUGAGAGUCGGGAACACCCGAAGUCCGUAGCCUAACCGCAAGGGGGGCGCGGCCGAAGGUGGGUUCGAUAAUUGGGGUGAAGUCGUAACAAGGUAAC
rnacentral:rRNA from 1 species